rnacentral:lncRNA from 1 species
AGUUUUAGAAUCAUAUUCAGUAAUAGCAUACACUCUGACAUGGCCUGAUGAUUUAUGAGGCAGUGACUCUUUCUUAUUGUUCAAAGGGCAAUCUUUUAUUUUAUAAUCCAACUUUCCACAAGCAAAAUAGACUCUAGUCACCCACAAACACAAACUUGUUUCAUAAUUUAACUUGCAAUUCACACAUGAUUGAGACUUUUGUGGUGACUUCCCUUUUCAAAUCCAAAUGUCUUGACCCUCUUGUUAUCACUUUCUGAUUCAUUUCCAAUCAUAUUUUUAUUGGU